rnacentral:rRNA from 1 species
GAUGAACGCUAGCUACAGGCUUAACACAUGCAAGUCGAGGGGAAACGACAUCGAAAGCUUGCUUUUGAUGGGCGUCGACCGGAGCACGGGCGAGUAACGCGUAUCCAACCUGCCCAUAACUUGGGAAUAACCUCGCGAAAGUAAGACUAAUACCCAAUGAUAUCCCACGAAGGCAUCGGAAUGGGAUUAAAGAGUUAUCGGUGAUGGAGUGGGAUGCGUCUGCUUAGCUUGUUGGCGGGGUAACGGCCCACCAAGGCAACGAUCAGUAGGGGUUCUGAGAGGAAGGUCCCCCACAUCUGAGCCGAGGCCCGGUCCCAAACCCUACGGGGGGCAGCCGUGUAGUAUAUUAGUCGAUGGGCCCGGGCCUGAACCAGCCGAGUAUCUUGCCGAAGUCCGGCCCUAUUGGUUGUAAACUGCUUUUAUAAGGGAAUAAAGUGGGUAACGUGUGACUUUUUGCAUUUACCUUAUGAAUAAGGACCGGCUAAUUCCGUG